ensembl:lncRNA
CUAUGGUGUCGCACAGAGUUGGACACGACUGAAGUGACUUAGCAGUAGCAGUAGCAGUGGUUUUUGCCAUACAUUGACAUGAAUCAGACAUGGCUGUACAUGUGUCCCCCAUUCUGAACCCCCUUCUUACUUCCCUCCCCAUCCCAUCCCUCAGAGUCAUCCCAGUGGACCAGACCUGAGCUCCCUGUCUCAUGCAUGGAACUGGAUUGGUGAUUUAUUUCACAUAUGGGAAGAUGAGAAGAAUAGGUCCAUUUGCAAAAAGCCUGAGGAGGUGACUGUGCACAUGUCCAGAAGAAGAGAAGUUCAUGUGGAGGAAAAUAGGCUGUGCAGGGCCCCUGCAGUUUAUGUGUCCAGAGAGGUAUGCUGCUGCUGCUGCUGCUAAAUCGCUUCAAUCGUGUCAGACUCUGUGUAACCCUAUAGACGGCAGCCCACCAGGCUCCCCUGUCCCUGAGAUUCUCCAGGCAAGAACACUGGAGUGGGUUGCCAUUUCCUUCUCCAAUGCAUGAAAGUGAAAAGUGAAAGUGAAGUCGCUCCGUCACGUCUGACUCUUCGAGACCCUCUGGACUGCAGCCUACCAGGCUCCUCCGUCAAUAGGAUUUUCCAGGCAAGAGUACAGGAGUGGGUUGCCAUUGCCUUCUCCGGAUUUCAGGUAUACCACAUGGUAAUUCCAUAUUUGUAUACAUUGCAAAAUGAUCACCACAAUAAGUCUACUUAUCACCCAUGACCUGUGGCCAAAAAAAUGUUUUUCUUGUG